GCCAAAAGUAUAGCCCACCAGUGACUAAUGUACCCUCACAUUUUAUUCCUUUAAUUAAAACAUUCUACAGGCUUAGUAAAGGUGAUUGAAAAACCUCUUAAGAGCAUAAAAGUACCGCAAGGGAAAACUGAAAUAAAAAUGAAAUAAAUAUUAAGCACAAAAUAGUAAAGAUUAAUUCUCGUACCUUUUGCAUCAUGGUUUAACAAGUUCAAUCAAGCACAACGACUUACAGUUUGACCCCCCGAAACUAAGUGAGCUACUUUAGGGCAGCUUAUUGAGCAAACCCGUCUCUGUCGCAAAAGAGUGGCAAGACCCUUAAGUAGAGGUGACAAGCCUAACGAACUUAGUGAUAGCUGGUUACUCAAGAAAAAGAUUUUAGUCUCACCUAAAGCUUCAAUAAUUUAACAAAAUAAAAUUUUAACUUUAGAGUAAUUCAAAUAGGGUACAGCCUAUUUGAAACAGGAUACAACCUAAACCAACGGGUAACACUUUAUUUACAUAAUCAAGUGGGCCUAAAAGUAGCCACCUUUAAGACAGCCUCAAAGCCCCAUUACACCCCCCCCCCCCAAUCUUUUAAAAUAAUUCGAACCCUUUAUUUYUAUUGAGUAAUUYUAUAUUAUUAUAGAACUUAUAAUGUUAAAACUAGUAGCAAGAAGAAGACCUUYUUUUAAAUGCAAAUGUAAAUCAGCAAGGACCCACCACUGAUAAUUAACACACAUUAAACUGCAUUAGCAACUCCUCAAGAAAACCCUAAUAAAUUUUAUGUUAACCUAACACAAGAGCAUUAAAAGAAAGAUUAAAAAAAAAAGAAGGAACUCGGCAAACAAUAACCCCGCCUGUUUACCAAAAACACCGCCUCUUGAAUAAUUAUAAGAGGUCCAGCCUG
rnacentral:rRNA from 1 species